UGGGUCCUACGGGGGGCAGCAGGGGGGAAAAUUGUAGAAUGGGGGAAACCCUGAUGCAGCAACGCCGCGUGAGUGAGGAAGUAUUUCGGUAUGUAAAGCUCUAUCAGCAGGGAAUAGAAAAGAAGGUACCUGAAAAGGAAGCCCCGGCUAACUACGUGCCAGCAGCCGCGGUAAUACGUAGGGGGCAAGCGUUAUCCGGAUUUACUGGGGGUAAAGGGAGCGUAGACGGAAAGGCAAGUCAGAAGUGAAAACCCAAGGCUCAACCAUGGGACUGCUUUUGAAACUGUCAAACUAGAGUACGGGAG
rnacentral:rRNA from 1 species